rnacentral:tRNA from 1 species
GACUUUAUUUUAAUUGUUUUGAAAACAAUUCUUAAGAAUAUUUCUUUAAAGUCC